rnacentral:rRNA from 1 species
UGCGCAGGCGGUUUUGUAAGACAGGCGUGAAGUCCCCGAGCUCAACUUGGGAAUGGCGCUUGUGACUGCAGGGCUAGAGUAUGUCAGAGGGGGUAGAAUUCCACGUGUGGCAGUGAAAUGCGUAGAGAUGUGGAGGAAUACCGAUGGCGAAGGCAGCCCCCUGGGACUCACUGACGCUCAUGCACGAAAGGCUGGGAGCAAACA